UAGAGCAAAAAUGAUGUUUGGAUUAGCAUAGGCACGCUGAGCCAUGGACGGCGAAGCGAGCCUGAUAGUGAAACGGACUGAACUUGAAGGCGGUGCCUAUGCUAACCAAACUCAUUUUGUAGCUC
rfam:Pseudobutyrivibrio xylanivorans DSM 14809 genome assembly, contig: EJ90DRAFT_scaffold00004.4